GACGAUGGUGCAGGUCGUCAUCAUGGCGGUGGUGUAGGGAUGGGGAGUCUAUCACAACCAACAAAGAAUAGUGUGGGAGGGGCCUUGCGAUCCAAGUGGCCUGAUCGGGAGAUAGGGUUUGGGGGACGAGUAGGAAACCAACGGUCUAGUCCACGACGGCCUCAAGGGUCCUUAUAAUUCAUGCAUGACCACCACUAAUAGGAACGAGAGAGGGAGAGGAGGAGGAGAGCCAUCUGAGGAGGAGAAGAUCAUGGG
rnacentral:lncRNA from 1 species